rnacentral:rRNA from 2 species
GACGAACCGAGCGAACGUUGUUCGGAAUCACUGGGCUUAAAGGGCGCGUAGGCGGGUGCUCAAGUCCGGGGUGAAAUCCUCCAGCUCAACUGGAGAACUGCCUCGGAUACUGGGUGUCUCGAGGGUGGUAGGGGUAUGCGGAACUAUCGGUGGAGCGGUGAAAUGCGUUGAUAUCGAUAGGAACUCCGGUGGCGAAGGCGGCAUACUGGACCACCUCUGACGCUGAGGCGCGAAAGCCAGGGGAGCAAACGGG